rnacentral:rRNA from 1 species
UCGGGAAUUUUGGGCAAUGGGCGAAAGCCUGACCCAGCAACGCCGCGUGAAGGAUGAAGUAUUUCGGUAUGUAAACUUCGAAAGAAUAGGAAGAAUAAAUGACGGUACUAUUUAUAAGGUCCGGCUAACUACGUGCCAGCAGCCGCGGUAAUACGUAGGGACCAAGCGUUGUUCGGAUUUACUGGGCGUAAAGGGCGCGUAGGCGGCAAUUCAAGUCAUCUGUGAAAUCUCCGGGCUUAACUCGGAACGGUCAGAUGAUACUGCUUUGCUAGAGUGCAGAAGGGGCAAUCGGAAUUCUUGGUGUAGCGGUGAAAUGCGUAGAUAUCAAGAGGAACACCUGAGGUGAAGACGGGUUGCUGGGCUGACACUGACGCUGAGGCGCGAAAGCCAGGGGGAG